rnacentral:rRNA from 4 species
UAACGACUCUCGGCAACGGAUAUCUCGGCUCUCGCAUCGAUGAAGAACGCAGCAAAAUGCGAUACUUGGUGUGAAUUGCAGAAUCCCGUGAAUCAUCGAGUUUUUGAACGCAAGUUGCGCCCGAAGCCUUCCGGCCGAGGGCACGUCUGCCUGGGCGUCACGC